UGAAUAUUAUAACAAUGUUUUAUUGUGAUUUAACAAAAUAAAUUAUUUUAUGUUUAGUAAUAAUAUGGUCCGCGGUUGCAUCCGCACCCGCAGCUGCCAGUGAUGGUGACAGUGCCAGCGGCUGGCAGAUCGCCCGCGAAGCGCACAGCGCCGAGGAUCGGCACCUGGCCAGCGACGAGGGUGGUGCCAGCGACUGGCAUCUCACCAGCGACCGCCACGUCACCGAUACCAGCUCCGCCAUAUGCACCGAGUUCUAUAGCUGCUGGGGCCAUGCCUA